GAUGAACGCUGGCGGCGUGCCUAAUACAUGCAAGUCGAGCGAACAGACGAGGAGCUUGCUCCUCUGACGUUAGCGGCGGACGGGUGAGUAACACGUGGAUAACCUACCUAUAAGACUGGGAUAACUUCGGGAAACCGGAGCUAAUACCGGAUAAUAUAUUGAACCGCAUGGUUCAAUAGUGAAAGACGGUUUUGCUGUCACUUAUAGAUGGAUCCGCGCCGCAUUAGCUAGUUGGUAAGGUAACGGCUUACCAAGGCAACGAUGCGUAGCCGACCUGAGAGGGUGAUCGGCCACACUGGAACUGAGACACGGUCCAGACUCCUACGGGAGGCAGCAGUAGGGAAUCUUCCGCAAUGGGCGAAAGCCUGACAGAGCAACGCCGCGUGAAUGAUGAAGGUCUUCGGAUCGUAAAACUCUGUUAUUAGGGAAGAACAAAUGUGUAAGUAACUAUGCACGUCUUGACGGUACCUAAUCAGAAAGCCACGGCUAACUACGUG
rnacentral:rRNA from 1 species